rnacentral:lncRNA from 1 species
UAUUGUUCACAGGCAUUUCGAAAGUGGAUAACUCUUGUGCGGUGGAUUCAGACCAUGCAUGAUAAGCUUUGAGGUAGGCUUUGGUCUAUUUUUUUUUUAAUUUGGCAUCUUAGAUAAUGUUUAGUAUGAAUCACAUGUGAUUUAGUACCAUAUUUGUUAGGUUUUAGACCUCUUUCUAUUAUUCUACCUUUUAUUGAUUCAUGUAGGAACAUUGGGCUUAUUGUGGGUGACAAGGACCUUAGUUUAGCCUUGUAGUUUGCCUUAGCAUGUUUAGCCAUGUUAGGAUUGAUUCUUGUGGCAUUAGGUUGGGGUUGAUCUUUAGAUGUAUUUUUUCGCCCUUGUAGUUAUAAGUUGCUCCCUAUAGGGAUUGUAUUAGGUCAUUUAUCUUGUGUUAGUACUUGAGACCUUAGUGGCUCGUUAUAGACAUAGGUUUGCUUUAGUAGUGCUCAGUUGUAAACCAUAGUGGUGUGUAUGGGUAAGGUGUUGUUCUUUGAGUUGUUUUUUUCUCCCUUUGUUGAUUUAGAAGCUCUUCUUGACUUCUUCUCUCAUUGAUUAGGGGUAGGCUUGUUAUAACUUAUUUAGAUUGUGUUAUAUUAUUGGCCCCAGGCCGUGGUCAGGGACCAGAUGGAUUCCAGGUUAGUACUCUCCACCGUGGUAGUGUGGUAGGUUUGGUAUUAUAUUUCUAAUUGUGAAUACCUUGUUAGAAUGUUGGUGAUGCCAUGCAUUCCAUUGAUUGUUCAUUCUCAUGUGUUUUGUAGUACGAUGCAGGUUCAUGCACUUUUGCAUCAUUAUCAUUUAGGGAGAAGGGAUAUUUUCACUUGGUUACUAUUCUAAACUCGUUUUAAUGAAUGUCGCACCACUUGUGUCAUUUUGAUAAAUUUAUUUUUGAGAUUUUUACGAGGCGUUGAGGAUGUGAUUCAUUUCUACUUGAAACAUUAGAGGCAUCUGGGAUGCACUCAUUUUUUACUUCACUAGACGACACGUCGAUGUCCUUUCCGACAUGGUUUGGCUACUUAUACCUAUUGUACUGCAAUGGAGAGGACUUGUUGUAAGACCUAGUUUGGACCCAGGUAGUGUAUACGGGCAUCAUGUGUCCCUUGUGAGUCCUUCUAGUAGUGUGUUCCAUUGUAUAGGAAGAUGGAGAUGCACGAGUCCUACCUCGCUAAUCAGGACAGAGGGUAGGUGUAUACACUUGUUUACUUAUGGUUACUAAUGGUUCUACUGCAAAUCCUGCAUUGAUAUUCAUCACCUAGCACUAGUAUAAUUGAUUAUUGUUUGCGCCCUUCGAUUUUAUGGGGCGGUUAGGUUAUGUUUGUUGCCUGUACCUUUUGGAGUUAUGGGGUCCAGUUAGGCUAUUGUUUGAUGAUAUUUUGUAUACUUGUGAUAUUGAUCUGUUAGUUGAUAGGUUGUGGUCUAGUUAUUAUGGAUGUUAGCCCUCCUGGACCCGGGUAGACGACUCAUGAAUCCUAAUUUGCUUGUGAAUAGGUUGUUGGCUUCUGUUUCCCAGUUCGUUCUUUACUCAGUUCCCUAUUCUUUGUGUUAUGUUUCUUUUCCUUAUUCCAUGUCUAGCAUAGUAUAUAUCCUAUUUAAUUACUUGUGUUGUACCUUGCUUACUACUUGUUAUUUAUAUUUGUAUUAUCUUUGGAGCUUAGAUUGUUGAUGACUAUUGAGUUCCGCUUGUUGGUGCUCAUACUAUACUUAUGCACUCUGCAUAUCAUAGUAUGAGUUCUCUCUAUUGAUUUGGAGUUCAUGCAGAGCCCUUUGGGUGUUCGAAGAAUAGUAUGAGCUCCUGGUGUUCAGAGUUACUUGUAACACCCCAAAAAUUUCUAAGCUAAGAGUUGAACCAUUCUUUAUAUGCAUAUAAGGUCCUACCAGGUGAUUCUUAAAUUGUGCUUAAAUGUUAAGGUCAAUUAUUUAGUGUGGGAACAUAUUUGGAGAUUAAUUAAGGUCAUAAGAACCCUCUGCCACAAAGUAGAGUUGAAAGCUUCCUUAUCGUUGAGUUUUGAUAUAAGAAUUUACUUGGGUGAACUUCAAAUGAUAAUAUCUUUAUAAAAAGUUAGGUGGCCAAUAACCUAUCACAUUAAAGGUUUAUGAGUCUUAUUUCCAACUCCACCAAGUUUGCAUUAACUAGAGUUCAGAGUAAAAAGUUAUGCCUGUUUCAGUGAAGCGCUGACAGGCAAGACCUAUUUUACGGCCUCCACUACAGAUGGUACAAUGUUCCACGGAUCGUGGAGCCUUCUGUGAUUGUUUUUCAAAAACUUGAUGCACGUGUUCCAGGGUUAUUUUGGUCCUUUUCCAAGAUUUUUAGCCCUAUUCAAAGACUUUUUUGGGUGUUUUAAAGGAGUAUAUCAUUCAACUGACUAGUUUUCCUUUCAUAAUUAUCAAUCUAAACAUUCAAAAUUCUAUGAAAACUCACCUAGGGUUCCUCUUAUUCAUCAAGAACCCUAAAAAUUCCAUGUCAAAAAUUCAAGAUACAACGAGAAGCCUUCAAUCCAAGGUUUUCUCAAGUUCUUCCACUCUAAGAACUCUAUAAAAGAGUCUUUUUUUUCUCAAGAUCAAGUAUCAAGAUUUCAAGAUCAAAGAUUUACUUCAAGAAAGCUAGUGUUCUUACUUAGGCACAAUAAAAAUGAAGUCUCCACCAAAGUUUUUAGUCCAAUAGCUUCAUAUUCAGAUAUGCAAGACUAUUCAUAGUGUUGUACUAAGUUCGUGCUCACGUCCUACAUCUAAAUUCAGUUAGUAAAGAGAUAAAUUUAGGGUUCUAUCCAAUGUUCCGUGAAUUCUAAGUUUGGUUUGUCUUCCGUAUUUUGAAUUCUAGUUCUCUUAACCAUUGAGAUUAGGAUACUUUACGCAUUUUGAUUUUUGAGUUGUUGUUCAUGCUUAUAUUAUCACAUAAACCCUAGUCAUUGUGAUUUUGUCGAAAGAUUUAGUGCAAGUAUUUCCAUGCAUUGAUUUUAAAAUUUAAAGUGAGUCCAAGUAUAUUUUUAUACAUCAUUCGAGAAUAGUUUUAAAGGAACACUAAUGGUCCCAAAUGUAUUAUUUUGUAUUGAGAAAAGAAGUACUAUUUCGAGAAGAGCAUAAAUAGUUUUCACAAGCAUUUCACUCAUUAAAGUAAAGCUCAGUUAGCUCUCAAAGAGAGCCUUUGGAGUAUUAAUUCAACCAAGUGAUGACUAUUAUCUGAGCAUUAUUGCAUAUAUUUUGAGUGUAGCAUUGAUCAUCGAUUUGGGUAAGAGUUGAGAUAACUCAAACCCUAUAACCUACGCCACCAACAUAGAUAGGAUUGUAUUGGAAUUUGGAUGACUCCUCACCUGCCUCAAGAAGUAUUUUUAGUGGAUCCAUAAUUUGAGUUAUAUCCUAUGCUCCGGUAGAGUAUAGGGCGGUUCUGACAAUGUGGGUGAGACAUUGUAUCAUUAUGAGAUUCAUAGUGAUGGUUGCCGGUUAGAGAAACUCCCCAUGAAAAAUAAAGUAUAUUAUUAUACUAAUUCAUAUUAUUGCAUACCUUAUUGUAAAGCUUUAAUGAUGUCAUUUCACAUUUGUGCUUUACUUUCAGUCAGGUUACUUUCAUUUUCUUGAAGUUCAUGUAAUCAAUUCGGUUAUGUAUUUCAAUUCAGUAUUAUUACAUAUCGUACAUUCCAUGUAUUGACAUCAUUUGGCACUACAUCAUUUUAUGAUGUAAUUUCAGGUACUCUUGAUAAACACGUUCAGUAAAUCUCUUUCCAUCAAUAGUCGGUGAGACCUCCUCGCAUCAGGAGGGCUCUAAUUUAGUUAGUUUACUUUAUUGGACUUUCAAUCAUUGUUAGUCGAAUAGUCAUGUAGCCAUGGGUAUUAUCAUGUUACCUAUCUUCAGUUAGUAGAGGCUUCAUAGGGAUGCAAAGCUAGUGAGUCAG